rnacentral:rRNA from 1 species
UACAGAGGGUGCAAGCGUUAAGCGGAAUUACUGGGCGUAAAGCGUGCGUAGUCGGUUAUCUAAGUCGGAUGUGAAAUCCCCGGGCUCAACCUGGGAAUUGCAUUCGAUACUGGAUAGCUAGAGUUCGGCAGAGGGAAGUGGAAUUUCGGGUGUAGCGGUGAAAUGCGUAGAUAUCCGAAGGAACAUCAGUGGCGAAAGCGACUUCCUGGACCAGAACUGACGAUCAGGCACGAAAGCGUGGGGAGCAAACAGG